GAUGAACGCUGGCGGCGUGCCUAACACAUGCAAGUCGAACGAAUUGCUUUAAAGGAAGUUUUCGGAUGGAAUUUAAAGUAGUUAGUGGCGGACGGGUGAGUAACGCGUGGGAAACCUGCCCUAUACAGGGGGAUAGCCUCGGGAAACUGGGAUUAAUACCCCAUAAAAUUCUAGUAUCGCAUGAUACAUGAGCCAAAGAUUUAUCGGUAUAGGAUGGUCCCGCGUCUGAUUAGCUAGUUGGUGAGGUAACGGCUCACCAAGGCGACGAUCAGUAGCCGGCCUGAGAGGGUGAACGGCCACACUGGAACUGAGACACGGCCCAGACUCCUACGGGGGCAGCAGUGGGGGAUCUUGCACAAUGGGCGAAAGCCUGAUGCAGCGACGCCGCGUGAGCGAAGAAGGCCUUCGGUUGUAAGACGUCUGUCUGGAGGGACGGAACGAAAAUAGAACGGUACCGUACCCGGACGGAACGGACCGACCGGACGUAACCUAACCGUACGUCCCGACGCCAGCCGCCGGUAAAAGUACGAACGUCGUACU
rnacentral:rRNA from 1 species